AUACGUAGGGGGCGAGCGUUGUCCGGAAUGAUUGGGCGUAAAGGGCGCGUAGGCGGCCCGGUAAGUCUGGAGUGAAAGUCCUGUUUUUAAGAUGGGAAUUGCUUUGGAUACUGUCGGGCUUGAGUGCAGGAGAGGUAAGUGGAAUUCCCAGUGUAGCGGUGAAAUGCGUAGAGAUUGGGAGGAACACCAGUGGCGAAGGCGACUUACUGGACUGUAACUGACGCUGAGGCGCGAAAGUGUGGGGAGCGAACAGGAUUAGAUACCCUGGUAGUCCACGCCGUAAACGAUGAAUGCUAGGUGUAGGGGGUAGCGACCCCUCCUGUGCCGGAGUAAACGCAAUAAGCAUUCCGCCUGGGGAGUACGGCCGCAAGGUUGAAACUCAAAUGAAUUGGCGGGG
rnacentral:rRNA from 1 species